GGGAAAGAAAGGCGGGACAAGAACAGCCAUGAUGGAGAGGUGAGGCUGGAACUCACCCUCCCACUGAACUACAGCCAAUUUUCCAUAUAUUAUUUUCACAGGAGUACUGAAAGACCACGGUGCCCUGGGAGGAAGGCAAGAAAGGAGGCACCCAGGCCAGCAAGCUCUUAGCUCCUGAAAAGACCAACAGCCUGAGACAACAAUGCUUUUAAUCUUAUGUGGUUGGCUACUCUACAGAAUUAUAUGAAACUACCAUAUAUGGAAGAAAAGGCAGGAAUUCUCAAGUGUGUAACUCUGCCCUCCCCUUGGAAAAUGGCUGACUUUAUAAUAUAUUUGUAUAUUUCA